rnacentral:rRNA from 1 species
GAUGAACGUUGGCGGCGUGCCUUAGGCAUGCAAGUCGAGCGAAUGUAAUUGGGAGCUUGCUUCUGAUUACAUUUGCGGCGAACGGGUGCGUAAUAAGUAGAUUAUCUGCCUUAGAGUUCGGGAUAGCCCUGGGAAACUGGGAGUAAUACCGGAGAUGUCGUAAGACCAAAGAAGCAAUUCGCUCUAAGAUGAGUCUGCUCACUAUCAGCUUGUUGGUGGGGUAAUGGCCUACCAAGGCUUAGACGGUUAGCUGGUCUGAGAGGAUGAUCAGCCACAUGGGAACUGAGACACGGUCCAGACUCCUACGGGAGGCAGCAGUGGGGAAUAUUGGACAAUGGGCGAAAGCCUGAUCCAGCCAUGCCGCGUGUGUGAAGAAGGUCUUCGGAUUGUAAAGCACUUUAAGUUGGGAGGAAGGGUUGUAAGCCAAUAUCUUGCAGCUUUGACGUUACCAACAGAAUAAGCACCGGCUAACUCUGUGCCAGCCGCCGCAGUAA